rnacentral:rRNA from 1 species
AUUGAACGCUGGCGGCAGGCCUAACACAUGCAAGUCGAACGAGUGGCGGACGGGUGAGUAAUGUCUGGGAAACUGCCCGAUGGAGGGGGAUAACUACUGGAAACGGUAGCUAAUACCGCAUACCAUCGGAUGUGCCCAGUUGGGAUUAGCUAGUAGGGGGGGUAACGGCUCACCUAGGCAACGAUCCCUAGCUGGUCUGAGAGGAUGACCAGCCACACUGGAACUGGGAAACGGGCCAGACUCCUACGGGAGGCAGCAGUGGGGAAUAUUGCAAAAUGGGCGCAAGCCUGAUGCAGCCAUGCCGCGUGUAUGAAGAGGGCCUUCGGGUUGUAAAGUACUUUCAGCUAGGAGGCGUUACUCGCAGAAGAAGCACCGGCUAACUCCGUGCCAGCAGCCGCGGUAAUUC